UAUUGGAUUUCUAACCCGCAGCACUUAUCGUGCUGGGAGACAGUGUCAGGCGGGCAGUUUGACUGGGGCGGUCGCCUCCUAAAAAGUAACGGAGGCGCUCAAAGGUUCCCUCAGAAUGGUUGGAAAUCAUUCAUAGAGUGUAAAGGCAUAAGGGAGCUUGACUGCGAGACCUACAAGUCGAGCAGGGUCGAAAGACGGACUUAGUGAUCCGGUGGUUCCGCAUGGAAGGGCCAUCGCUCAACGGAUAAAAGCUACCCCGGGGAUAACAGGCUUAUCUCCCCCAAGAGUUCACAUCGACGGGGAGGUUUGGCACCUCGAUGUCGGCUCAUCGCAUCCUGGGGCUGUAGUCGGUCCCAAGGGUUGGGCUGUUCGCCCAUUAAAGCGGUACGCGAGCUGGGUUCAGAACGUCGUGAGACAGUUCGGUCCCUAUCCGUCGUGGGCGUAGGAAAUUUGAGAGGAGCUGUCCUUAGUACGAGAGGACCGGGAUGGACAUACCUCUGGUGUACCAGUUGUCGUGCCAACGGCAUAGCUGGGUAGCUAUGUAUGGACGGGAUAAGUGCUGAAAGCAUCUAAGCAUGAAGCCCCCCUCGAGAUGAGAUUUCCCAACUUCGGUUAUAAGAUCCCUCAAAGAUGAUGAGGUGAAUAGGUUCGAGGUGGAAGCGUAGCGAUACGUGGAGCUGACGAAUACUAAUCGAUCGAAGACUUAAUCAAAA
rnacentral:rRNA from 1 species